ACAGAUAGCUGUUGCGCAUCUCUAAAAACGAAGGUGUUCGACCAGGUGGCAACACCCACCCGUAAAAAACGAUUUUAGUCGCAGUCGCAGAGAUUUUGGUUUUGGGGGAGGUGCGGAAAACAGCUUCUACGAUUUUUUUUUACCAACUCUUCAACUACAUUUAAACGAACGAACAAGUAAGCAGACAAAAAGCUGAAAUCAGCAAAUCCGGACACCAGGCAGGACAACCUUUAGACUUCAUCGCGAGACGAUAUCGAAUCCAACGAAUCCCGACAAUGGCCCACACACAUCUGGGACGCGCCGUGAAAAACAUUGAGGCGCCACGCCCACUGAAGACACAAUCGCGAUCGUCGUUGAAGAACAGCUACCUGGUGAUCGAGGAGCUCAUCCAGUUGAUAGACAGCGUGACAGUGGGCCUGCAGUCAUGCAACACCACGCCGGACUCGAUCACGCUGCUCCUGCACAACCUCCGGGUCCACGGACCGCAACUGGAGGCGGUGUCCAAGGAUACACUGGACCGGGCCUUCGUCGUUUUCCGCAACGCUUCGCAGGACGAACGGCUGAACAUAACGACGCGCCUUAAGCUGCUCGAGCUCAUCGAGCUGCGCGCCAAAAGCUGGGACAAUGACGACACAAUCGCGUACUACAAGUCCAAGCAGCAGAUCUCCAACGUGGAGCUGCCCUCGGAAUACCAGUACGAUGCUGGCGUGCAGCCUGGCGCCUUCAGCACCUCCCCCACAUUCGGCGUCAGCGGCGGUGUAGGUGGUGUUAACGUUGGAGCCGCAGCCGCCGCUGCCGCCGUCUUCAAUGCGGCAUCUGCAGCUGCAGCCGCCCAAGCUGCGGCCAUUGCGGCCGUGGGCUCACCCAACCAGCAGCAUAUGCUGCUGCCUCCCGGUGAGGUCAUCCGUAAUUCGGGCAAGUUCCCCAAACCGACCAAAAUUCCCGGCAAAACUUACUGCAAGGACGAGGUCGUGAUUCGCAACGCCGACUCCGGCAAAGUCAUGGGCAUCAAGGGGCGUCGCGUGCACAUGAUCGAGGAGCUAAGCGAAACCAUAAUAUCGUUUCAAAGAGUCAACCCGGGUGCCAAGGAGCGUUUGGUACAGAUUACUGGUCCAGCCGAGGAUAAAAUUAACUAUGCCAAACAACUGAUGGAGGACACCAUCCGUCGCAACGCCUCGCCGGUGCGCCUGGAACCCGCUCCCGGCGCUGGAGGAUCCUGCUCCUCGCUUAACUCGUCCAACUCGGACGACGCCAUUGUGCAGCCAAGAACUCCAACCGGAAGCAGUUUGGCCAACCGGCUGAGUUUCAACUCGGCCCAAAACUUCAUGACUGCCACCGCUGCUGCACAGCAGAUCUCGCAGCAGAUGCUCCACCAAACGCAUCACCAGCAGCACCAACAGCAGCAGCAGCAGGUCGCCGCAGUAGCCGCCGCAGCAGCAGCAGCGGCACAUGCUCAGGCGACAGCCGCUGCCGGUAAAGUCUUGCGUCCCAAUCAACAGCUGCUUAUGCACUCAUAUUCCACAAACGAUGCUUCCGUAGGUGAAUACAAGUUCACGGUCAACGUGGGCCAGCACCUGAUAAAGAUUACCGGCGAUUGCUGCGAACUAGUGCGCGUGGCAAAACUCGUGCUCGAUGACUAUUUUAGCAGCUCGGAGUUUCUGGCCUCUAUUGAGGCUGGCGCCGCCUUCGACGGCACCUCGCUGGUGAGCCCAGUGACCACGCCAUCGACUCCGCUUCCCGGAGCCGGGCCGCCGCAAUUUUUGCUGCCUGGAACGGACAGCGGCAUCGGACUGAAUUACGCCGCUUCCUCGGCAACCAACAAUAAUGGUGAGGGCGACGACGAAGUGUUCGCAGAGCCCAGCAAUGGAGGAUCAUCGACGAACAAUCAGAAUGGCCUGGCCAGAUCGCGUCGCAGCCACUUUUCGCGCAAGGAGUCCACGCCGGAGACCAAGGGAGCUCGCGAAAAGUUUGACGUGGACGAAUUGGCAGGCCCCAAUCCCUUGAAGAGCAAUGCAUCUCGCGUUUCUUACGACAUUGAACACUUGAUCUACUACUCCAUGAGUCCGCACGCCUGGGCUUUGCCCACCGACUGGCAAAAGAUGCAGGAAACAACGCCCUCGAUUCUCCGCAACAAGGUAAUUUCACCGUUCGAUGGCUUAGCCGACCGUAUUGCUUACUCUACGAACACCCCCGAUUCCACUAUCGCCAGUGCACCUAACUCAUCAGUAAUAACACAUUCGCCGGCUAUAAAUUCAAUAACCUCCACCCCGAACACCAAUAUCAUCAGCACCGCCGUUGGAGGAGCUGCUGUCGAGGCGUCAGCAGACCAUCCCAUAACCGUCACUAACAAGCAAUCAAAAGGGAUCAUCGCCGAUCGCGAGACCCGUCGCCUUCCCAAAACAUCGGCCGUGUCCGAUCGAAACUUGUAUAACAAGCAAUUGCAAAUCAUAACGAAUACUGUAGGUAAAUCGGGGGCACCACAUGUAAAGAAUCGCCAGUCUAACUAUCAAUCAUCCCAAGUGAAAGCAAUUUUUCAACGUUACUGCGAGGACGAUGAGUUUUCCAUGGCACUGUGCGAAACUGAGUCGAAUAAUAACCGGGUCUAUUUCUAACUUUAUUUCAUUUGAUUACGUAGCCUGAGUACGUACUAUUGAAUCUCAGCCACAGAUAUGCUUUUCUUUUUGAGUCAUCUCAUGCCAGUAUUAUAGCUAUUUUAAUUUUAUAUUAUUACCAAAAUAGUUGAACCAUGAAGUACUUGAUAAUGAAUCGAGUCAAUAGCAUUAUCAUCAGCAUCCAGUCAUAUAAUUAACGACAUCAUACCAACGAAACCAAAACAAUUGCUAAGUGAAACUGUUCGCUAGUCUUAGAGGUAACAAUACAUUUAAUGAAUUGAAAUUAAAAUGUAACUAUAGGGAGAAUCUGUGUUUUGGCUGUGAAACAGAUUAAGUCGUCGCUAAGGAUAAACUGGAUACGCGGUUUAAACCGUUUAACCACUAACAAACUUUCUUAAAUUCAAACCAACAUUUACAAAGCUGUAAUUAAUGUUUUAUUAAGACUUAUAACAAACGUAGGCUAAGCGUUUUAUCCCCAAACACAUAUUCAAUACGAUUUAUAUUAACUAAUAAACAGGGCUUUCAAAGCCCGUAACAAAGCUUGGCUGGGUUUAACUUACACACCGCAUACAUUGUACAUUGUAUAUUGUGUUUUACCACCGAAAAAUCAUAACAUGAGCUGCUAACUCAUCCUAAGCACGUCCACCAAACCACUCCAAAUGGCUAACUUAGUUACUAAACUGUUCAAUAUGUACAUUUGUUUAUCCCAGGAUCUGCAGGAUGAAAGCCAGCGCUUCGAUGGUGAUAAGUAUCUGGCCAGCAUUAAGACGGCCGCCAAGCGUGACAUUGUGGCAGCCGACGAAGUCGAGACUCUGGAUGAAUAACGCAAUCAAUCGAGCGGCUUAAACUGACAAUAUAGAUAAUACGCUAUCAAUGUCCGGGGUGCAGUGUCUGCUCCCAGUCGGAGCUGCACUAUGCUUCAAUGCUUUUGGCCUUGGCCUCAUUUAACAAUCGCAAACUCAAAACGACCAAAAAAAAAAAAGAUUAAAAAAACGUGCAAUUAACCCUAGAAAUUACCAACGAAAAUAAUCAAAACUUUCAAAAUAACUAGAAAAUUCUACGAAGCUCUUAGUUAAGUUCAAGCGAAAUGGGAAUCGGAAUUCCCAAUAUUUACUAAUUUACAAAAUGCAGCUAAAUGAAAAGCCUCGAAACGGCCCUAACUUUAAUGGCCCAUAUGAAAUGGAAUGCAUUUUUUAGUAACUCAAUAGAGAAUGACACAUUUUUAGUUUGAAAUUUGUUUCUCAUCCUUACGCAAACUUUGUUUCUCCCAACCAAAUAAUUCUCAAAAUGGAAAAAGAAAUGUAUUAAUUCAUCUAUGUCUUUAUUAUUAUUUUAUAAUUCUUUUGCGACUUGCGCUGAAUAUCAGUUUUCAAGAUUUGAAAUUGUAUUUUGUUUUCUCUAGUCUAUGCAUCAUAGAAAUUUGUAUACUAUUUUUGUUAAAUUCAUGUGGAAAUGUAACAAGACGAAAACCACAAAAAAUUAUUUGAAUUUCUGUUUAUGCUUUAGUUAAUUUAUUUUAUUUAUUUUGUACAAAUACAAAUCAUUUAUUCUUCAAAAAGAUAUUUGCAAGGAAAUAAAAUGGAAUCAAGAUCAAAUACUGCAUCUUUCACACACACCGUCUUUCACCCAAAA